GGCUGGUCUGAUGGUAGUGGGUUAUCAGAACUUACUGACAUUAGUAUCACUAAAGUUGGUAUACAACCCCCCACUGCUAAACUUGACUGGCUUUAA
rnacentral:Y_RNA from 1 species